rnacentral:lncRNA from 1 species
CCCUUGUUUUGUCCUAAUUGGGAUGUAAAGAUCAACGCUUUAGAAUAAAACUUUGACAGAGAUAGUUAUGUAUAACUUUCUCAUAUGUCUUUAAGUCAACUUCUUUUAUCUUGCGACAUUGAAUUUUAAAAUCGGGGCCAAAAAGGACCCUUACCGAACUUACUCCUUUACUUGCAUUAAAGGAACAUUUCCAGAUAACUUCUCCUAUAGUUUGAAUUCUAGGAAGUUUUCACUCUGCUGGCUGUUUGUACAUAUAUUGAAGGUGUGCAUGUGGUCAGGGUUUUAAAUUUAAAUAAUUUUUGCUUUUUUGGGAGAUAAUUGAACUUUGUCAUUUUUGGGUUAUAAGCGGUUAAAUGUUAUAGUUAUUUUAAAAUAACACUUUGCAUCUGCGGGGGCAUCAAUUGUGUCUCCCAGGCACAAUUUUAUGUCAGAAAAGAAUUGACUAUGUUAUAAUACAGCUACUUUAGAGAGGAGUGCGGGGGGCAUCACUUUAUCUAGUUUACAUAUUUUUCUCAUGUUGUGCUGUUACACUACUGUAACAGUCCGUUGUUAGGUUAGAAUUUAUCGGUCACAUACAUUUUAAACACGUUCAAUUGUCGUCGUUGUAUCAUGUGUGUCAUAUUUGUUUCAUUUUUGAAGAUUUUGUUUAUUUAUAAAUUAUACCGUAAGUUUUUUCGCUUGAUUUUCUUCACAUGGUGCAUGGUUGUUUUUUUUUGUACCCGACUAUACGCUGUGUUAAAGGCCGUACCAAUGGUUGCCUAUACAUGAUUUAUCAUAUCCAAUGCAUUUAAACUCUGGUGGAUAGUUGUCUAAUUGGCAAUUACACCACAUCUAACUUCAUUUCAAUUUAUAUGUUGCGUUUUGUAUACUGUUACAUUGUUUAUCUUUGUACGCAUACCCCAGAGCCCUCUUUUUGGAAACCCGAGCAAAAGCCAUUAAUAGUCUUCGAUAGAAAAAUUAAUUACAACUUAGAUAGCUCGAAUUCAACUCGAAAUCUUAACUAAUCUACAUGAGACUUAAAUUAAAAUCUCACACAAAC